GGGCGCUUGGUGAAGUGGUAUCGCGUCGCUCUCCAAAAGCGAAAUCGGGGGUUCGAUUCCCUCAGCGCCCGCCG
rnacentral:tRNA from 1 species